AUGGAUCCAAGCCCAUCAAUUAUUUGCUGGAAUGUGAGAGGGCUGAACAACCCAGCCAAACGAGACGCUGUGCGAGGUUUUGUGAGCACUAUUAGAGCAAACGUAGCUUGCUUACAGGAGACUAAACUUGAUGUAAUCGAUCGCUACUCAGUUAUGCAAUGUUUGGGGCCGUCGUUUGAUGGCUAUGCCUACUUGCCGGCUGUUGAGACUAGGGGAGGAAUCCUACUUGCUUGGGAUUCUUCUGUGGUGGAUGUUGACCAGCUACAGCUGGAUGAUGACUUUAUAACAGGCAUGAUUCACACGAAAGCGGGAGACCAUUGGUGGCUAACGGUUGUUUAUGCUCCACAGGGCGACGCGCUCAAAACUGCCUUCCUGGAGCAGUUAAACAUGAGGAGAGAGUUAUGUCCAGGACCAUGGAUGGUCUUGGGAGAUUUUAACAUGAUUUUGCGAGCUUCCGAGAAAAACAAUGCCAAUCUAAACCGUAGCAUGAUGGGGAAGUUCAGGGCGUUCGUGGACAAUAAUGAGCUUAAGGAAGUGUACAUGCAUGGAAGGAGAUUCACUUGGUCAAAUGAGAGGGAAUCGCCUACUAUGACCAAGAUUGAUAGAGUGCUAGUCUCGGUGGAUUGGGAACUGGCGAAUCCGGACUGUCUUCUCCAAGCUUUAUCUUCUGGUGUGUCUGACCACGCCCCGCUACACCUUCACGCUGCGGCCAUGUUCUGCCCGAAAAAAAGAUUUCGUUUUGAGCUAUAUUGGACUAAAUUGGAUGGCUUUGAGGAUGCUGUGCGCGAGGCUUGGGUUUGUGAGGAUAGCAUUGUUGACCCCUUCAAGAGGCUGGACACUUUAUAUAGAAACACGGCAGUCGCUCUGCAAGCAUGGAGCCAAAGGAAGACAUGA
rnacentral:rRNA from 1 species